GAAGGUCUAACCUGAUAAUCCGCUAUGAAAGCUUUUCUCUGGCGAACCGAUUCCGUCCCUGUACAUGCACCGGUUCAUCCCGAUUCGCCCAAAUUCUCUCUCUCCCGUCGCAAUUCAGUUUCCGGCAUCUUUUCUGGCGAGAAUCACAACGUGAUUUCCCCCAGAAUCUCCCUGCAUUUGGAGAUCAACCGCCACAGGGACACUCCUAUUGGACUAACCUUGUCGGAAACUGAACUCAUGGGAUCGGAAACAGAAUUGUUCGGUACGUUGACGAAGCUUUCUGGAUCUGGUUCUCUGUCCUACCAGGCGAUGAUACCGGAAGAGGAGCAGCAUUUUUUAGGAUCUGACCUGCAUGGCUGUGGAUCUACGACUUUGAAUGACGCCGGAUUCUGGCCAGAUAGCCGUAUUCCGUUGAAGAAGCUAGGUUUCACCGGAGACGGAUUCGGGAAAGGAAAGAAAUACGGAGGAGGGAAUGGCGGCAAUGAUGACGACUGGCGGUCAGACUUAAUCAAGAUGGGUGAUUAUUAUAAAGAAAUGUUAAAGUCAAACCCUAGCGAUUCGCUGCUUCUGAGAAACUAUGGCAAAUUCUUGCAUGAGGUGGAGGGAGAGAGAGAGAGAGCUGAAGAGUACUAUGCGAGAGCGAUUCUGGCGAGUCCAGGAGAUGGAGAGGUUUUGUCUCUGUACGGGAAGUUGAUAUGGGACUCACACAGAGAUGGAGAGAGAGCUCAAGCUUAUUUUGAUCAAGCUGUUUCUGCCUCUCCAAAUGAUUGCAUGGUGUUGGGAUCAUAUGCCCAUUUUAUGUGGGAAGCGGAAGAAGAUGAUGAAGAAGUCAAUGGGUGUGCUGAAGCUUCACCAGCAUUGGUAGCUGCUCUCUAGCGAUUGACCCUUCAAUCUUUAAUACUCAAUCCUUUUUAGGCAAUAUUACUAACUUCAAUAACAAUAUAAUAAGAAAACCAGAAUAAUAUAUUAUAAUAUAAUAUUUCUGGGUAUUUUACUUGCUUUUUUGUAAUGUUAUUAUCAUGUAUAUUGUCUUGUUUAAUUAUUUCCUCUUACAUUUUUGAUCUUGUACUAUUACUAUAAUGUAUAUCAUAAAAGUCUUAGUAGGAGAUAUUUAUAAUAUUAAGAUUUUUUUUUGGGA
rnacentral:misc_RNA from 1 species